GACGAACGCUGGCGGCGUGCUUAACACAUGCAAGUCGAACGGAAAGGCCCUGCUUUUUUGGGGUGCUCGAGUUGCGAACGGGUGAGUAACACUUGAGUAACCUGCCCUUGACUGUAGGGUAACUUCAGGAAACUGGGGCUAAUACCGGAUAGGAUCUCCUGCUGCAUGGUGGGGGUGCGUAAGUUUCGGCGGUUGGGGAUGGACUCGCGGCUUAUCAGGUUGUUUGGUGGGUAGUGGCUUACCAAGGCUUUGACGGGUAGCAGGGCUGAGAGGGUAACCGGACAAAUUGGGAUUGAACUGCGGCACAGCCUAGACCGGGAGGGAGGAGAGGAGAAGAGAGCACAGUGCGAUGAAGGAUAAUGUAGCAAAGCAGUGCGCGGGAUGACGGGAUGGGGGUUGUAAAGCGAUUUCGCCUGUGACGAAGCGUGAAUGACGGUAAUGGGUAAAGAAGCACCGGCUAACUACGUG
rnacentral:rRNA from 1 species